GAUGAACGCUAGCUACAGGCUUAACACAUGCAAGUCGAGGGGAAACGAUAUUGGAAGCUUGCUUCCGAUAGGCGUCGACCGGCGCACGGGUGAGUAACGCGUAUCCAACCUGCCCAUCACUUGGGGAUAACCUUGCGAAAGUAAGACUAAUACCCAAUGAUAUCUCUAGAAGACAUCUGAAUGAGAUUAAAGAUUUAUCGGUGAUGGAUGGGGAUGCGUCUGAUUAGCUUGUUGGCGGGGUAACGGCCCACCAAGGCGACGAUCAGUAGGGGUUCUGAGAGGAAGGUCCCCCACAUUGGAACUGAGACACGGUCCAAACUCCUACGGGAGGCAGCAGUGAGGAAUAUUGGUCAAUGGGCGAGAGCCUGAACCAGCCAAGUAGCGUGCAGGAUGACGGCCCUAUGGGUUGUAAACUGCUUUUAUAAGGGAAUAAAGUGAGUCUCGUGAGACUUUUUGCAUGUACCUUAUGAAUAAGGACCGGCUAAUUCCGCGCCAGCCGCCGCCGUAA
rnacentral:rRNA from 1 species